rnacentral:rRNA from 1 species
UACGGAGGAUGCGAGCGUUAUCCGGAUUUAUUGGGUUUAAAGGGUGCGUAGGCGGCCUGCCAAGUCAGCGGUAAAAUUGCGGGGCUCAACCCCGUACAGCCGUUGAAACUGCCGGGCUCGAGUGGGCGAGAAGUAUGCGGAAUGCGUGGUGUAGCGGUGAAAUGCAUAGAUAUCACGCAGAACCCCGAUUGCGAAGGCAGCAUACCGGCGCCCUACUGACGCUGAGGCACGAAAGUGCGGGGAUCAAAUAGG